GAUGAAGAACGUAGCGAAAUGCGAUACUUGGUGUGAAUUGCAGAAUCCCGUGAACCAUCGAGUCUUUGAACGCAAGUUGCGCCCGAAGCCAUUAGGCCGAGGGCACGCCUGCCUGGGCGUCACACGUCGUUGCCCCCCCAUCUACUCCUUCGGGAUUGCGGGGGGCGGAUGAUGGCCUCCCGUGCGCCACGCCGCGCGGUUGGCAUAAAUGCCAAGUCCUCGGCGACGCACGCCACGACAAUCGGUGGUUGCGAAACCUCGGUUGCCCGUCGUGUGCGGUCGUCGCGCAUCGAGGGCUCGAAAAAAUUGCCGGGUUCCGGCUCGGCUUUCAACGCGACCCCAGGUCAGGCGGGGUUACCCGCUGAAUUUAAGCAUAUCAAUAAGCGGAGGA
rnacentral:misc_RNA from 1 species